AAACCGUUCGGGGGGAAACGGACAGAGCUCGUGAAUCCGGGCGACGGAAUUCAGAAUUUGCGGCGUGCUCGUCGCGUCGCAGGCUCGAUAUUUCCGUCGUCGUAUUUCGGACGUCGCGACCCGUUUGGUGUCGGCCUGAGGAGACGUGCGAAAGUUCGUUGACGCGUCGAACUUUGUUCGGCGCGUCGGCGAGUGCGCGUUCUAUUUUCUGACUGACUCGCCAGACGGUAUGCAACGGUGGUCGCGGCGGCCUCUAGCGCCGCCGUCGAUACCUGUCUGCGACGAAUCUUCGAGUCUCUUUCCGA
rnacentral:rRNA from 1 species